AUGCUCUGACCAAGUAUUGUCAGUAGGGUUAAUAUUUGAUGGUCGCAUUUGAUACUGUCUGAAGGGCGUACUUGAUUCACUCUGCAAAAUAAACACUGACCAAGUAUUGUCAGUAGGGUUAAUAUUUGAUGGUCGCAUUUGAUGCAUGCUAUAAUGUAUGAAUAGUGAUCUGAUAUUGUCAUUAAGUUGUACUUCAUUCAAUCUGUGCUACUCCUAACCUGAUCUGAUAUUAUCAGCAUGGCAUACUUAAUUCACUCUUUACUGUACCUGUACUGAAAUGAUGAGUUGGUAUCUUAGGUAAGUGACUUGAAGCUAUUGUGAAUCAGGUGUACAUAUGUCAUUUACAUUUCUGAAAUGUCAUUUAUAAUUCCCCCCCUUUUUUUUUUUCCUCUCUGAAAAACCCCGAUAGAGUAUUGGAAGAUUUGUACAUACAUGUGGAUUAUUGACAGCCUGAUCAGUGAUUUCCACGAAAUAUAGAGGAAGAUUUUUACGAGGACCAUGUUUAAUAUUCCAUGGUAGAUAUUUUACUCCGGCUGGAGAUAAUUGACCCAUGAAUAGUGAAUAAGACUCAAAUGAGGAUAGGUCAAUAUAAAUAUGGGUUGUUUUUUUUUUGUCUUAAAUCUGAUUUGACACAGUAAAAUUGGGUCGCCAUUGAUCUAGUUGUUGUGACGACCAAGAUUUAAGUUUGUAUGGCCGUUCUCCCAGAUGAAACUGGGUGGUUAUGAGUGCUGCUGGUAAACUCCACACACUGUUUUAUAAUGAUUUUGUCAUACAUUGUUUUAACUUUAUUGUUUUGUGAUCAUAAUGAAUCAUGUUUUCAUGUCAACUCACUUUUAAAAUUGGUGUUAUUUAAUUCAACAACACUGACUUAAUGAUGGACUCCAUUCCCAUGUCAUAUUGUGGUGCAAGUUUCAGAAUUGCCAAGUCAUUAUCAAUCUUAUGGUUAGACUGAGCUGCUAACCUCUAGGUAUCUACUGGUUAGACUAAGCUGCUAACCUCUAGGUAUCUACUGGUUAGACUGAGCUGCUAACCUCUAGUGGCUAGACUGAGCUUCUGAUCUCUAGUAUGUAAUGGCUAGAUUCAAUUGCUAACCCAGUGUCUUAUGGCUAGACGUGAUUGCUAACAUUUAUUUUCUAAUGACUGAACUCUAUUGCAACCAUUUAGUGUUAAAAGGCCAGACUUGUUUGCUAAAUUUACUAACUAAUGGCAAGGUUCCAUCGCUAAUCUUCAGUAUCUAAUGUCUAACUGAAUUGCUAACCUCUUAUUGCCAGAAUCAAUUGCUUAAUUCUUAUGUCUAAUGGCUAGAUGCAACUGCUAGCCUUUCAUAGCCAUCGGCCAGACUUAGUAAUUAAAUACAAACCACUAGUAUUUAACGGUUACUUUGUGAUAAAAAACAAUUUUUUCUUAACAUUAAAGAUUGUCAAUUACCACUUGAUAAAAUGUAGGUAAGCGUAUACAGGGAGGAUUUCUAAUUAGUAAGUAAUAUGUAAAUUAUCUAUAUUCAUGCUAUGAAAGGUUGUAUUUCUGUUGUGAUAUUACAUAAUACAAAACAGUAAUAACAUUUUGAUUAAAGACCAUAGUGUCGUACUUUUUAUGGUCAUUUUACAAGUAAAUCCUGAUCACAGAUGGUUCACAGAGACUUUAUCACAACUUUACUGUUAAGAUUACAGUUAAACAAGGUUAACACUAGGUUUACUGUGACUUUAUCAGAACUUUACCGUUAACAUUACAGUUAAACAAUGUUAACACUAGGUUUACUGUGACUUUAUCAGAACUUUACCGUUAACAUUACAGUUAAACAAUGUUAACACUAGGUUUACUGUGACUUUAUCAGAACUGUUAUUUCACAGGUAAACAAUACUGACAGGUAAUUUACUGUUAUUUCACAGGUAAACAAUACUGACAGGUAAUUUACUGUUAUUUCACAGGUAAACGAUACUGACAGGUAAUUUACUGUUAUUUCACAGGUAAACGAUACUGACAGGUAAUUUACUGUUAUUUCACAGGUAAACGAUACUGACUGGUAAUUUACUGUUAUUUCACAGGUAAACAAUACUGAUAAGUAGUUUACUAUUAUUUUACAGGUAAACAAUACUGACAGGUAAUUUACUGUUAUUUCACAGGUAAACGAUACUGACAGGUAAUUUACUGUUAUUUCACAGGUAAACGAUACUGACAGGUAAUUUACUGUUAUUUCACAGGUAAACGAUACUGACUGGUAAUUUACUGUUAUUUCACAGGUAAACAAUACUGAUAAGUAGUUUACUAUUAUUUUACAGGUAAACAAUACUGACAGGUAAUUUACUGUUAUUUCACAGGUAAGCGAUACUGACUGGUAAUUUACUGUUAUUUCACAGGUAAACAAUACUGAUAAGUAGUUUACUAUUAUUUUACAGGUAGAAACUUAUAUGAUAGGUAAUUUACAGUGAUUUUACAGGUAAACACUUCUAAUGAGUUUUGUUUACAGGUAAACACUACUGCAGGUAGUUUUAUUAUAAUUUUAAGGCUAAAUACUACUGAUAUAUGGAUUAUUAUAACAUAUACUGUUGUUGAGUGGUUAACUGUGAUUUUACAUUCUGUACCAUCGAUACAUGGUGAACCAUUAUUUUUCAGAUACCGGGUAAUUGUCGAGGUUUAGAGCGGAUAUUAUAGAUCUUUAAUUACAGCUGGCAUAUUUUCUUUAUAAUUGGUUUCUAACUCAAGAUCAGGGGAGUAUUCUGAAGCUUGCACCUUAAUAAACUUAAUCAUGAUCCAUACAGUGUCAGUGGUUUCUCCAGAUCUGUACAGAAAUUUGCAAUUGUUCUUUUGAUGUACAGAGAAUAUUUUUAUGGCAAUGUUGAAAUAUGAAAUAAAAUAUGAAAAAUGCAUCAAACAAAAAUAAUAAAAGUGAAAUAUGAACAA